rnacentral:lncRNA from 1 species
GGAUGGCAGGACGCUGGGGGCAGCCAGGUGUCUGCGUAGGUCUUCUCAGGGGCCGUCGGGUCUGGACAGCAUCCCUGAAUCUCCAACACAGCAGGGUCUCACUCUGUGGCUGGAGUACAGUGGCGCGAUCUCGGCUUACUGCAACCUGCACCUCCCAGGCUCAAGCGAUCCUCCCACCGCAGCCUCCUGAGUAGCUUGGACCACAAGCCCUCAUCACCACACUUGGCUAAUUUUUUUGUAUUUUUUGUAGAGACAGGGUCUUGCUAUGUUGCUCAGGCUGGUCUCAAACUCCUGGCCUCAAGUGAUCCUCCCACCUGGGCCUCCCAAAGUGCUGGGAUUACAGGCAUGAGCCACUGCACCUGGCCCCCCUGUCAGAGCUUGAGCACUCACUUGGUGCCAGGUGCCACUCUAAGCACUGCACAGCCAUUGACUUGUGUUUUCACAACGUGGGCGCCCAUUUUUCAGAUGAGGAGACUGAGGUUCAGGAGGUGAACCGACCUCCUUGGGGAUCUCACAUUAUUCUCGUGCAUGUUUAUUGCGUGGUUUGCUGAGUACCUCGCACUGUCCCAAGCCUUUAUGUAUAUUAAUGCAUUGAUUCCCACAACAGCCCCAUUUUACAGAUGAGAAAACUGAGGCCCCCCCCCCUUCAAGGGUGGUGGGAUUGGGGCAUGGCCGGCAG